GAGAGUUUGAUCAUGGCUCAGAUUGAACGCUGGCGGCAGGCCUAACACAUGCAAGUCGAGCGGUAACAGGACUAGCUUGCUAGUUGCUGACGAGCGGCGGACGGGCGAGUAACGCGUAGGAAUCUACCAAGUAGUGGGGGAUAAGCCAGAGAAAUUUGGUCUAAUACCGCAUACGUUCUUCGGAAGAAAGGAGGGGAUCUUCGGACCUUUCGCUAUUUGAUGAGCCUGCGUGAGAUUAGCUUGUUGGUGAGGUAAGAGCUCACCAAGGCGACGAUCUCUAGCUGGUCUGAGAGGAUGAUCAGCCACACUGGGACUGAGACACGGCCCAGACUCCUACGGGAGGCAGCAGUGGGGAAUAUUGCACAAUGGGCGCAAGCCUGAUGCAGCCAUGCCGCGUGUGUGAAGAAGGCCCUAGGGUUGUAAAGCACUUUCAGCAGUGAGGAAAGGUGUGUGGUUAAUACCCGCAUACUGUGACGUUAACUGCAGAAGAAGCACCGGCUAACUCCGUGCCAGCAGCCGCG
rnacentral:rRNA from 1 species